GGGGUCAUUCUUUUGUAAUUCAUCAAACAAACAAUUCAAAUUCUCUCUAAUACAAAGCUUCCUUUACAUAGCAAGAACGUGAGCAAGUUGUGCAAGAUCGUGAGCGAGUUAUCAAGUGCUGCACGUGUACUUAGUUAACAACUAAGGACGUGACAAAAAGCUCUUAAAAUUAUAUGGGAGUUAAUAUCUUUAUUUUUAUGUUCAAUCAAACAAAAUUCUGAAGGAUGAGAACUUAUAGCAGAAUUCAAAAACAGAGUUUUUGUCUGUCUACAUAAUAGAUAUCUACAUCUCAUCUUUGUCUGAAAACAAUAUUCAGAACCAUAUAGAAAUCUUUCUAGGUUUGUGAUUUAAUAGCACAUCCACCCAAGCUCGCAAAUCUAUUCAAAAUAGUUUCUACAGGACAAGAGUUUUCUUUCCUGGCAAUACACAUAGGGUCUAAAUUUCUUCUCUUGUUUUCUAAAUAUUUUUUUGGCACACCUCUGAUCACUAAUUCCUAAAGAAUUUAGGAAAGUGAGGCAGGUAAAACAGCAGAUGCCUGGUGCAUUUCAACCCUGAAGAGACUAAGAGAGGUGUCACCAUUGAGCUUGAAGGUUUCUUUAAGAUCAAUACGUGAAGGAGAUUUCAAACUCUUGACCAGUGCAUAAUUCGUGAGUAUCGAAUGACAUUACAAGCAUUCUUUGGACGAAUUACUCGUGACUACUGUGAGGGGGUUCGAGCACGGAUGUUGGAUAAAGAUCUUUCCCCCAAGUGGGAUCCUCCAAGCUUGGAACAUGUAACGAGUGACAUGGUAGAUGAGUAUUUUUCUCCUCUAACAGCGUUGGAACCGGAUUUGGAGCUACCGACACAGCAACGGGAAGCUUUCGCGUAGCCUCUGGGAAGGACAACAGUAAUUUCCCUAUUAUUCUUCCCUUGGCUGACCACAGGCCAAAUAAAAGAAAGGCUUACCUGUGCUUAUGUAACAUUCUUAUUACUGGUUUCAUUGGAUGAAUGAAAUUAAGAGAGCAUUGAAUAUGUAUGCCUUCUAUAUAACCUUAGUUGAAUUCUGAAAAAGGACAACGGAUCUAAACUGCCA